CCCUCGUGCCGCAGAGGGACCCGCCGCUGCUGCCGUCUGCGGCCAGCCCGCCCCGGCAGCGUUCUCAGCGCCUUGCAGGUCAUUAACUGAGCUGCCCAAUCCCUCCGUGAGGUCGGGGAUUCACCGUUACGCCUCGCAGAAAUAUGGAGUGAGCAAAGCUGGGAAAUAAAGCCAUUACCUUAAUGCCGAACAGGCAGCCUGGGGAGGAGCUGCGUUCCCAGCUGGGCCAAAGGCGCGCGUUCAGCCUCAGCUCCCUCAGGGCAGAGCGGGAAGGUUGCUCCCUGUGGGGAAGCUCCGGCUCUGCUUCAGCUACACACGAUGCCAUCCAUGUGGCGGUUCCACGGCUGUUCUUAUCAGCGUUCAUCCUACUACAAAAUCAAAAUACCCCCUCGCUGCGUGAAGAACAGUUUCACAGAACAAAGCGGAAUGUGUAAAAUCACGUAAGCCAUUGGAUAGGAUAGAAAGGUAAAAUAAUUCAAAGGUUGGGCCCAAGCCCUGGCAGAAACAGCUGUAUGUAGAAAACUGAUUUUCCUUGGCUCGCUCAGAAGCAGAGCUGACAUCUCAGACUGGUGAGAAUAGAGAGUGCUUUGGGAUAAACAUCCUUUCCUGUUUUCCUGAGCCCACUGAAGAAAUCCUCACACACAAGCCAAAAUUUUCAAUUGGAGAAAGAUAUGUUUUUUUCCUGAAAUAGAAGCAGUAAUCACAGUUUUCAUUUUAGCUGAGUUGCAGAUGAUUUUGCAGGACAUUUUUUUUCAAUGAAACUAAGGAUCCCUUGUCUUCAGAACAGUUCAUCCUGUGUUCUGCUGACAGCAGAAGUGCAAGUGUGCGUUGAUUGAGAAUUCUCAUAUACAGAGACUGGCAAACAGAUCUGGAAUUUUACACUGUCAGAUGAUUGAUUUGAUUUGUUUGUUGCUUGCAAAGAGCUAUCUUUUUAUACAUUUGCACAGGCCAGACUAAUUCUAACUGACGCACUGGUGUAUAUAUAUGUGGCAUACAAAGCUUCACUUUCUUCAGAAGAUUAGGAGAACUCUACCUUAUACAAAGAACACGAUUUCUGGCCAUAUGUAUCUUCAGAAUAUCAUACACAAACCUAUGUUUACUAUGGAAGGAAGGGUGCACGUUACUAUGCUAUCUGAUACCAUUUGUGUUAAUAUGGAGCACAGAAGUUCAGGUACCAUGAGAUGUCUGCACAUCCCUCGUCUUGGUGUGGAGACAGUCUGUAAAGAUGGAGCCUUGCAUAGCAUCCUCUGGAUGCCAUAUAUAAGCUCAGACAGAUAUUGAGAGAAAAGUUGAAAGACAGCAUCUACAUUUUCUGUACAUUCCCUCCCUCUCUGGCUGCUGCUGGCAUGAUCACACUUCCAAAGCUCUUGGUCCACCUUGCUGUACUCUAUAUGCAGACAUCCAGCUGCUGCAUAACUAAGGAAAAAGAAGUAAUCUAGCAGAUUUCUGGACAGCUAGCAGCAUUUCUAUGCAAAAGUGAUCAUGCAGAAGAGUACAAAUGAUGGCCAGAUUACCUACCAUAUUCAGUUUGUUGGAUGGAGAGUGAAAGGAGAUGAGAAAACCACACCAAUGUUAGUAGCUUGUGCAAAGCUCCCUCUUUUUUACAUUUUUUGCCUGCUAGGCCUCACGUGCGUCUGCUAGCAAAAUGUUUUUCCACAAGUGAACUCUAACAUGUAAAUACAGGUCAGUCAGUCUCACCUCAGUGCUUGGCAAAUUCAUGGAGCAGACCCUCCUGAAAACUAUAUGAAGGCACAUGGAAAACAAAAAGGUGAUUGGUGACAGCCAACAUGGCUUCACUAAGGGCAAAUCAUGCCUGACAAAUUUAGUGACCUUCUGUAAUGGCAUUACAGGAUUGGAUAAGAGAAGAUCAACUGAUGCCAUCUACCUGGACUUGUGCAAAACAUUUGACACUGUCCCACAUGACAUCCUUGUCUUUAAAGGAUUUCAGAAGGUGAAUAAUCACCUUCAUGCAAUUGCUGCAUGAAAUAGUCAACAGAAAUUUUCAUCAGAAAAAUCGAUUGAAAAUUCUUAUGUAAAGGUGGUACAUAUUAGCCAAAGGAAUGUCUUUAUUGUAAGUUGGAGCUAAUGAACAAGUAUCACAGUAAACUGAGCAAUGUACAUAC
rnacentral:lncRNA from 7 species